AUCAUAGUGAGUUUUAUUUAUUUUGGUUGCUUUGCUAUAGAUUUUGCUAAAGAAUAUAUCAAACAUAUUUACUUAUCCAAUGGCAAAUGUUGGUCAGCAACCAAAAUGGGAAGGCAAGGCAUGUGCAAAGCUAGCAGGAUGCAAAGCAGAACAAGUAUGGCUCCUCUUACAAGAUUUUUUCGGCUUGGACAAGUGGUUCCCGAGUCUGACUACUUGUCUCCCCGUCGAAGGUGUCUCGGGACAACCCGGGUGCGUUCGUUUCUGUGCUGGUUUUAAAACUCCGGUCAAUGGUAGUGAUAAAGGAAGUAUGGAUUGGACUAAGCAAAAGCUACUGUCCAUUGAUCCAAAUAAGAUGGUUUUUAGCUAUUCUAUUGUGGAUGGCAAUGUUGGCUUCAAUGGUUAUGUAUCAACAGUGAGAGUGUUGUCCAAUGAGCAUGGGUGUGACAUUGAAUGGAAGUAUGAAGUUGAGCCAGCGAAAGGUUGGACACUCGGGGAUUUGGAUUUCUUCAUUGCUUCUGGUUUACAAGUUAUGGCUCAAAGAAUGGGAGCAGCUCUCCAAGUUUUUCAAGCUACAAUGGAUCAAUAAGAUCAAGAAAACGAACUGAAUCGUGGAAAGGAGAAAAUUCAAGAAUAGUCUCUGAAUUUCUACGACUUUUGCAAAUUAGUCCAGAUUGAAUUAAAGAGAAGUUGGUAGAUCGGAUCAACACAAUAAGGCACACUAUUCAGAUCAAUUCCGGUAGUUUUUGUUUUAUGUUUAAAGAUUUAUAUGGCAUGUAUAGAGUUUGAAUGAAUUGAAGUAAAGAUGUUAUAAACUAGUUAACAAUAUUUGUACUAAAACAGUUUUUGGUAAGUAGCAGUAGUUUGACUUUGAAAAUUCACCAUAAA